CUUGCAAACUGGAGAUGGCGACCGGCGCACGGGUGAGUAACACGUAUCUAACCUGCCGAUAACUCGGGGAUAGCCUUUCGAAAGAAAGAUUAAUACCCGAUGGCAUAAUAGAACCGCAUGGUUUGAUUAUUAAAGAAUUUCGGUUAUCGAUGGGGAUGCGUUCCAUUAGGCAGUUGGUGGGGUAACGGCCCACCAAACCUUCGAUGGAUAGGGGUUCUGAGAGGAAGGUCCCCCACAUUGGAACUGAGACACGGUCCAAACUCCUACGGGAGGCAGCAUG
rnacentral:rRNA from 1 species